rnacentral:rRNA from 1 species
AGAUUGAACGCUAGCGGGAUGCUUUACACAUGCAAGUCGAACGGCAGCGCGGACUUCGGUCUGGCGGCGAGUGGCGAACGGGUGAGUAAUAUAUCGGAACGUGCCCAGUAGCGGGGGAUAACUACGCGAAAGCGUGGCUAAUACCGCAUACGCCCUACGGGGGAAAGGGGGGGAUCGCAAGACCUCUCACUAUUGGAGCGGCCGAUAUCAGAUUAGCUAGUUGGUGAGGUAAAGGCUCACCAAGGCGACGAUCUGUAGCUGGUUUGAGAGGACGACCAGCCACACUGGGACUGAGACACGGCCCAGACUCCUACGGGAGCAGCAGUGGGAAUUUGGACAAGUGGGGAAACCUGAUCCAGCCAUCCCGCGUCGUGCGAUGAAGGCCGUUCGGUUAGUAAAGCGUACGUUUUCGGACGA